rnacentral:rRNA from 1 species
CGAGAUAUCUGGUUGAUCCUGCCUGAACUGAUGUGUUCAUUUCAAAGAUUAAGCCAUGCAUGUAUAAGUUUAAUCGUUUUAACGAGAAACCGCGAACGGCUCAUUACAAUGGCCAUGAUUUACUUGAUCUUGAUUAUCUAAAUGGAUAACUGUGGAAAAGCUAGAGCUAAUACAUGCACCAAAGCUUUGUCCUCUCGGAAAAGCGCAUUUAUUAGAACAAAACCACGCGGCUUCGGCUGCUUCUUGUUGACUCAGAAUAACUAAGCUGACCGCAUGGCCUUGUGCCGGCGGCGUGUCUUUCAAGCGUCCACUUUAUCAACUUGACGGGAGCAUAAUCGACUCCCGUGGUGGUGACGGAUAACGGAGGAUCAGGGUUCGACUCCGGAGAAGGGGCCUGAGAAAUGGCCACUACGUCUAAGGAUGGCAGCAGGCGCGCAAAUUACCCACUCUCGGCUCGAGGAGGUAGUGACGAGAAAUAACGAGAUCGUUCUCUUUGAGGCCGGUCAUCGGAAUGGGUACAAUUUAAACCCUUUAACGAGUAUCAAGCAGAGGGCAAGUCUGGUGCCAGCAGCCGCGGUAAUUCCAGCUCUGCUAAUACAUAGAAUUAUUGCUGCGGUUAAAAAGCUCGUAGUUGGAUUCGUAUCGGUACCCUGGAACCCUCCGGGUGUUUCUGGGUGUUAUCGAUUUAUCGUAAUGUUCGGUUUUGAGUCCUUAACAGGAUUCUUAACAGGCAUUGCAAGUUUACUUUGAACAAAUCAGAGUGCUUCAAACAGGCGUUUUCGCUUGAAUGAUCGUGCAUGGAAUAAUAGAAAACGAUUUCGGUUCAGUUUUAUUGGUUUUACGGACUGAGAUAAUGGUUAACAGAGACAAACGGGGGCAUUUGUAUGGCCCCGUGAGAGGUGAAAUUCUUGGACCGUGGCCAGACAAACUACAGCGAAAGCAUUUGCCAAGAAUGUCUUCAUUAAUCAAGAACGAAAGUCAGAGGUUCGAAGGCGAUCAGAUACCGCCCUAGUUCUGACCGUAAACGAUGCCAACUAGCGAUCCGCCGAUGGAAAUUAUAUUGCCUUGGUGGGGAGCUUCCCGGAAACGAAAGUCUUCCGGUUCCGGGGGAAGUAUGGUUGCAAAGCUGAAACUUAAAGGAAUUGACGGAAGGGCACCACCAGGAGUGGAGCCUGCGGCUUAAUUUGACUCAACACGGGGAAACUCACCCGGCCCGGACACUGUGAGGAUUGACAGAUUGAUAGCUUUUUCAUGAUUCAGUGGAUGGUGGUGCAUGGCCGUUCUUAGUUCGUGGAGUGAUUUGUCUGGUUUAUUCCGAUAACGAGCGAGACUCUAACCUACUAAAUAGCUGGUACAUAAUUUAGUGUAUACAGCUUCUUAGAGGGAUUUGCGGUGUUCAGCCGAAAGAAAUUGAGCAAUAACAGGUCUGUGAUGCCCUUAGAUGUCCGGGGCUGCACGCGCGCUACACUGGCAAAAUCAACGUGCUUGUCCUACCCCGAAAGGGGCGGGUAAACCAUUGAAAAUUUGCCGUGAUUGGGAUCGGAAAUUGCAAUUAUUUUCCGUGAACGAGGAAUUCCAAGUAAGUGCGAGUCAUCAGCUCGCGUUGAUUACGUCCCUGCCCUUUGUACACACCGCCCGUCGCUGCCCGGGACUGAGCCAUUUCGAGAAAUUUGGGGACCGUUGAUUUAAUUUUUCUAAAUUACUUUGAUGGAAACCAAUUUAAUCGCAGUGGCUUGAACCGGGCAAAAGUCGUAACAAGGUAGCUGUAGGUGAACCUGCUGCUGGAUCAUUACUUUA